ensembl:lncRNA
GAGGAGUGGACAGUGUUGAUGCACCUUUGCCUGCAUAUCUCGUGGCUGGCUGCCUCUGUAUGCUGUGGUUCCUUUUUUUGACUUCUUUGACCCAAAGGCAUCUGGAAUCUCUUGAAAGCAUUAAUUACGCCUUCCGCUCUUUGCACGGAGGAGGACCCGUGUGGUCGUCACCAUGGCAGGACAUCUCAGCUCUCUGGGAAAGAGCACUGGACCAGAGCCAGGCGACGGGGUGCCAGCUUCAGCUCUUGCCUAUACAGCGGUUCUUGGGCAAAUGCCCUAACCAGAGUCUUGGUUUUCUUAUGUUACAAUUUGGAGAAACAAUAAUGAAAUUGUAGACCUUGUGAAGUACUUGCUGGUGUCAGAUAUUGAGGGCUACAUCUGCUUUAUCUCAGGAAGCCAGCAUGAUACCUCAGGGGGCAGGUACAAAAGGGGGUCCAUUUUGCAGAUGAGAAAACUAAGUCCUG